UACGUAGGGUGCGAGCGUUAAUCGGAAUUACUGGGCGUAAAGCGUGCGCAGGCGGUCUGUUAAGACCGAUGUGAAAUCCCCGGGCUUAACCUGGGAACUGCAUUGGUGACUGGCAGGCUUUGAGUGGUGGCAGAGGGAGGUAGAAUUCCACGUGUAGCAGUGAAAUGCGUAGAGAUGUGGAGGAAUACCGAUGGCGAAGGCAGCCUCCUGGGCCAACACUGACGCUCAUGCACGAAAGCGUGGGGAGCAAACAGG
rnacentral:rRNA from 1 species